rnacentral:misc_RNA from 1 species
GAGGAAGAAAAAAUCGAAGAUCGUAACUUUUGGGUUCUUCGAAUUCUACACAAAUUUCACUAUGAUUGACGACCAGGACCUGGGUUUCUUUGCCAACUUUCUUGGUAUCUUUAUUUUUGUGCUGGUGGUCGCUUACCAUUAUGUGAUGGCAGAUCCCAAAUACGAAGGCAAUUGAAAGUCGUUACGUUAGAUUUAGCUUGGGCAAAAACAGUUAUGUUUAUUUGCCUUUGGCACAGCUCUAUAUGAUAGAUAUUGAAUUUUGAUGUGGCGAAACAUUUAUAAUUACUGAGCAUGGACUUGU